rnacentral:rRNA from 1 species
UGCUCUUUGCAAAAAAAUUUAUGAAUAAAGAGUACUGCCUGCCCAGUGACUGUUGUUAAACGGCCGCGGUAUUUUGACCGUGCAAAGGUAGCAUAAUCAUUUGCCUCUUAAAUAGAGGCUGGUAUGAAUGGCAAGACGGGGGUUUAGCUGUCUCUUUCUUAUAAUCUUGAAAUUAAUAUUCUUGUGAAGAAGCGGGAAUUAAUUCGUAGGACGAGAAGACCCUAUCGAGCUUUAAUGAAUAAAUAUUUAGUAUUAUUACACACGAUAUAUAGCUAAUUAAAAUCAGAGUGAUUUUUACGGAAAUUAUAUAGUAUCUUGUUUUUAUGUAAAUUGAGCAUUUUGAUUGGGGCAAUCAUGGAGAAGAAAAUCCUCCAUUAAGGAAAAUACAGAAGAGACGUUUUUGAUAUAUAAAUCUUAUACAGAAAUGACCCGCUUGAUAAUAAGCGAUUAAAGGAAUAAGUUACCGUAGGGAUAACAGCGUAAUUUUUUUGGAGAGUUCAUAUUGAUAAAAAAGUUUGCGACCUCGAUGUUGGAUCAAGAUUUCCAGGAGAUGC